rnacentral:rRNA from 1 species
CAGUCGCCACGGGAAUACGAAGGGUGCAAGCGUUAAUCGGAAUUACUGGGCGUAAAGCGUGCGUAGGCGGUUUGUUAAGUCUGCUGUGAAAUCCCCGGGCUCAACCCGGGAAUGGCAGUGGAUACUGGCAAGCUAGAGUGUGUCAGAGGAUGGUGGAAUUCCCGGUGUAGCGGUGAAAUGCGUAGAGAUCGGGAGGAACAUCAGUGGCGAAGGCGGCCAUCUGGGACAACACUGACGCUGAGGCACGAAAGCGUGGGGAGCAAACAGGAUUAGAGACCCGCGUAGUCCCUGUCUCUUAUAC